GUGCCAGCAGCCGCGGUAAUACGUAGGAGACGAGCGUUAUCCGGAUUUACUGGGCGUAAAGAGGGCGUAGGCGGUCUUUCAAGUCGGAUGUGAAAUCUCCCGGCUUAACUGGGAGGGGUCAUUCGAUACUGUUGGGCUAGAGGGCAGCAGAGGGAGGUGGAAUUCCCGGUGUAGUGGUGAAAUGCGUAGAUAUCGGGAGGAACACCAGUGGCGAAGGCGGCCUCCUGGGCUGUUUCUGACGCUGAGGCCCAAAAGCGUGGGGAGCGAACAGGAUUAGAUACCCUGGUAGUCCACGCUGUAAACUAUGGACACUAGGUAUGGGGAGUAUCGACCCUCUCCGUGCCGAAGCUAACGCUUUAAGUGUCCCGCCUGGGGACUACGGCCGCAAGGCUAAAACUUAAAUGAAUUGACGGGG
rnacentral:rRNA from 1 species